rnacentral:rRNA from 1 species
CCUACGGGAGGCAGCAGUGAGGAAUAUUGGUCAAUGGACGAGAGUCUGAACCAGCCAAGUAGCGUGAAGGAUGACUGCCCUACGGGUUGUAAACUUCUUUUAUAAAGGAAUAAAACGAGGCACGUGUGCCUUUUUGCAUGUACUUUAUGAAUAAGGAUCGGCUAACUCCGUGCCAGCAGCCGCGGUAAUACGGAGGAUCCGAGCGUUAUCCGGAUUUAUUGGGUUUAAAGGGAGCGUAGAUGGGUUGUUAAGUCAGUUGUGAAAGGUUGCGGCUCAACCGUAAAAUUGCAAUUGAUACUGGCAGUCUUGAGUACAGUUGAGGUAGGCGGAAUGCGUGGUGUAGCGGUGAAAUGCUUAGAUAUCACGAAGAAACCCGAUUGCGAAGGCAGCUUACUAAACUGAGACUGACAUUGAUGCUCGAAAGUGUGGGUAUCAAACAGGAUUAGAUACCCUGGUAGUC